rnacentral:rRNA from 1 species
UACGUAGGUGGCAAGCGUUGUCCGGAUUUAUUGGGUUUAAAGGGUGCGUAGGCGGCCUUGUAAGUCAGUGCUGAAAUAUCCCGGCUUAACCGGGAGGGUGGCAUUGAUACUGCAGGGCUUGAGUAAAGUUGAGGUUGGCGGAAUUGACGGUGUAGCGGUGAAAUGCUUAGAUAUCGUCAAGAACACCGAUAGUGAAGACAGCUACUAGCUUAACUGACGCUGAGGCACGAAAGUGUGGGGAUCAAACAGGG